rnacentral:lncRNA from 1 species
CUUUCCCUGCUCAUGAUUACUCAGGUCUCAGACCUUCCUCCCCACCACUGGUGACAAAAAGAAGGAUUUGACUCUGCCCAGCUUGUUCCAAAUGCCAGGAGCCUCCCAUCAGAGGGUACAAGCAUAUUCGAGUGAAAGCUCAUCUGUCCUUGAUCUUCCUGUCAUUAACCAAUACCCCCUCUGCCCAGACUUCAUGAAAAUGAAAGCUGGGAGAUGGAGACUCAAAGAAAAGCAGGAUUCAAGAUAUCAAGGCCUCCCCCAUUUCAUAAAGCCAACCAAAAAAAUGAUGAUUCUGGAUGCCCCAAGGCACCUACAACUUCCCCUCAUGGAUUUUAUGAAUGACAAGUUGAUAAACUCAAAAUACAAGUCUACAGAAACCUUUCUCAAUGAGGACAUCAAAGCAGAAAAUGUUAAGUACAGACUGCCAAUGAGGGCCAUCUGGGGUCCCAAAAAACCCUUACAGACACUAUAUACUGACCUUAUAACAUCCUCCAAGACUCCAACUUACAAAAAAGAAUCUCUUCCAGAUCCGAAGAAUACGUGGGCAGAAUUCAACAUCAACAAGAUUCCUAAGCACAGUAAAUACUACUGA